GAUGAACGCUGGCGGCGUGCCUAAUACAUGCAAGUCGAGCGAACAGAUGAGGAGCUUGCUUCUCUGACGUUAGCGGCGGACGGGUGAGUAACACGUGGAUAACCUACCUAUAAGACUGGGAUAACUUCGGGAAACCGGAGCUAAUACCGGAUAAUAUUUUGAACCGCAUGGUUCAAUAGUGAAAGACGGUUUUGCUGUCACUUAUAGAUGGAUCCGCGCUGCAUUAGCUAGUUGGUAAGGUAACGGCUUACCAAGGCAACGAUGCGUAGCCGACCUGAGAGGGUGAUCGGCCACACUGGAACUGAGACACGGUCCAGACUCCUACGGGAGGCAGCAGUAGGGAAUCUUCCGCAAUGGGCGAAAGCCUGACGGAGCAACGCCGCGUGAGUGAUGAAGGUCUUCGGAUCGUAAAACUCUGUUAUUAGGGAAGAACAAAUGUGUAAGUAACUGUGCACAUCUUGACGGUACCUAAUCAGAAAGCCACGGCUAACUACGUG
rnacentral:rRNA from 1 species